rnacentral:rRNA from 1 species
GUCCAGACUCCUACGGGAGGCAGCAGUGGGGAAUAUUGCACAAUGGGGGAAACCCUGAUGCAGCGACGCCGCGUGAGCGAAGAAGUAUUUCGGUAUGUAAAGCUCUAUCAGCAGGGAAGAAAAUGACGGUACCUGACUAAGAAGCCCCGGCUAACUACGUGCCAGCAGCCGCGGUAAUACGUAGGGGGCAAGCGUUAUCCGGAUUUACUGGGUGUAAAGGGAGCGUAGACGGCUGUGCAAGCCAGAUGUGAAAGCCCGGGGCUCAACCCCGGGACUGCAUUUGGAACUGUGUGGCUGGAGUGUCGGAGAGGCAGGCGGAAUUCCUGAUGUAGCGGUGAAAUGCGUAGAUAUUAGGAGGAACACCAGUGGCGAAGGCGGCCUGCUGGACGAUGACUGACGUUGAGGCUCGAAAGCGUGGGGAGCAAACAGGAUUAGAUACCCUGGUAUA